rnacentral:rRNA from 1 species
GUGCCAGCCGCCGCGGCAAUUCCAGCUCCAAUAGCGUAUACUAAAGUUGUUGCAGUUAAAAAGCUCGUAGUUGAAUUUCUGGUCUUGGAUUUCGGUCUGCCUCAAACGAGGUAUGUACCAGGGAUCUGAGACCAUCCUCGAGGAAAACAUAUCUGUCAUUAAGUUAAUGGGUAUGGGAUCCUCGUCAUUUACUGUGAGCAAAAUAGGGUGUUCAAAGCAGGCUUAUGCCGUUGAAUACAUUAGCAUGGAAUAAUAAGAUAAGACCUUGGUCUAUUUUGUUGGUUUGUACUCCAAGGUAAUGAUUAAUAGGGAUAGUUGGGGGUAUUCGUAUUCAAUUGUCAGAGGUGAAAUUCUUGGAUUUAUGGAAGACGAACUACUGCGAAAGCAUUUACCAAGGAUGUUUUCUUUAAUCAAGAACGAAAGUUAGGGGAUCGAAGAUGAUUAGAUACCAUCGUAGUCUUAACCCUUAACUAUGCCGACUAGGGAUUGAAGGACGUUUGUAACGACUCCAUCAGCACCUUAUGAGAAAUCAAAGUCUUUGGGUUCC